AGUGAACGCUGGCGGUAGGCCUAACACAUGCAAGUCGAGCGGCAGCACAGUAAGAGCUUGCUCUUACGGGUGGCGAGUGGCGGACGGGUGAGGAAUACAUCGGAAUCUACUUUUUCGUGGGGGAUAACGUAGGGAAACUUACGCUAAUACCGCAUACGACCUACAGGUGAAAGCAGGGGAUCUUCGGACCUUGCGCGAUUGAAUGAGCCGAUGUCGGAUUAGCUAGUUGGCGGGGUAAAGGCCCACCAAGGCGACGAUCCGUAGCUGGUCUGAGAGGAUGAUCAGCCACACUGGAACUGAGACACGGUCCAGACUCCUACGGGAGGCAGCAGUGGGGAAUAUUGGACAAAGGGCGCAAGCCUGAUCCAGCCAUACCGCGUGGGUGAAGAAGGCCUUCGGGUUGUAAAGCCCUUUUGUUGGGAAAGAAAAGCAGCAGGUUAAUACCCCGCUGUUCUGACGGUACCCAAAGAAUAAGCACCGGCUAACUUCGUG
rnacentral:rRNA from 1 species